GCUGGCGGCAUGCCUAAUACAUGCAAGUCGAGCGGAGUUGAUAGGAAGCUUGCUUYCYUGAUACUUAGCGGCGGACGGGUGAGUAACACGUAGGCAACCUGCCCUCAAGUUUGGGACAACUACCGGAAACGGUAGCUAAUACCGAAUAGUUGUUUUCUUCGCCUGAAGGAAACUGGAAAGACGGAGCAAUCUGUCACUUGGGGAUGGGCCUGCGGCGCAUUARCURGUUGGUGGGGUAACGGCUCACCAAGGCGACGAUGCGUAGCCGACCUGAGAGGGUGAUCGGCCACACUGGGACUGACACACGGCCCARACUCCUACGGGAGGCAGCAGUAGGGAAUCUUCCGCAAUGGGCGAAAGCCUGACGGAGCAAUGCCGCGUGAGUGAUGAAGGUUUUCGGAUCGUAAAGCUCUGUUGCCAGGGAAGAACGCUUGGGAGAGUAACUGCUCUCAAGGAGACGGUACCUGAUAAGAAAGCCCCGGCUAACUACGUGCCACCAACCGCGGUAAUACGUAGGGGGCAAGCGUUGUCCGGAAUUAUUGGACGUAAAGCGCGCGCAGGCGGUCAUUUAAGUCUGGUGUUUAAUCCCGGGGCUCAACCCCGGAUCGCACUGGAAACUGGGUGACUUGAGUG
rnacentral:rRNA from 2 species